ACCCGCACAAGCGGUGAUGAUGUGGAUUAAUUCGAUGCAGCGCGAAAACCUUACCUACCCUUGACAUGCCAGGAACUUUCCAGAGAUAGAGGAGUGCUCGAAAGAGAGCCGUAACACAGGUGCUGCAUGGCUGUCGUCAGCUCGUGUCGUGAGAUGUUGGGUUAAGUCCCGCAACGAGCGCAACCCUUGUCAUUAGUUGCUACAUUUAGUUGGGCACUCUAAUGAGACUGCCGGUGACAAACCGGAGGAAGGUGGGGAUGACGUCAAGUCCUCAUGGCCCUUAUAGGUGGGGCUACACACGUCAUACAAUGGCUGGUACAAAGGGUUGCCAACCCGCGAGGGGGAGCUAAUCCCAUAAAGCCAGUCGUAGUCCGGAUCGCAGUCUGCAACUCGACUGCGUGAAGUCGGAAUCGCUAGUAAUCGCGGAUCAGCAUGUCGCGGUGAAUACGUUCCCGGGUCUU
rnacentral:rRNA from 1 species